CUGUUGAUUGGACAUGAUUUGGAAAGGCACACAUCUGUCUAUAAAAGGUCCCACAAUUACAGUGCAUGUCAGAGCACAAACCAAACAAUGAAGUCCAAUAAAUUGUCUGUAGACGUCCGAGACGGGAUUGUAUCUAGGCACAGAUCUGGGGAAGGGGACAAAAACAGUACUGCAGCAUUGAAGGUCUCAAUGAGCACAGUGGCCACUAUCAUCUGUCAUGGCACGCAUUUAUUUGUUCUUUUUUUAGCACCAUCUUGUGGCAGUUUGGUGUAACAACAAAGAACAUUGAUGACUGUGAGCUGUUUUAUUAGUGGUUGGUUUAGGUCAUGUGACUCUUGGGUUAGAGGUUAACCAGGAAAUAACCACAGUGUUUCAGAUUCUUUCCAUGCGGUUGGCUUUCUGUUUUAUUUAGGUGUUGUGCCUUGGAAAGGCUUUGUCUGUUGAGUUUAAAUCGAACUAUUCUCCAACAAUGGGAAUUUGUGAACAACAAUAAUACUAAGCAGAGCUGAAUGAAGCCUUUUGUUGCGCAUUCACGGAAAAUUAUAAGCGUUUAUCCAGCAGAAACUCUAACAAUAAGAAAGCUGAACUGCUACUAUCUGAGUUCACCUGUGUGACCUACACAAGUGUCUCCUGAUGACCCUGAACACUUUCAUCAGCACCGGGAUACCAAUCAUAAUUCACACAGAUUGAAACGUCAAUCAUAACACACACAGUUUAGAACAGACACGUCAAUCUUGAGUACAGAGCAUCCGGAAAAUACUCCUUGAGAUGUUUCUACAACUUGAAGUCCACCUGUGGUACAUUCUGUUGAUUGGACAUGAUUUGGAAAGGCACACAUCUGUCUAUAAAAGGUCCCACAAUUACAGUGCAUGUCAGAGCACAAACCAAGCAAUGAAGUCCAAUAAAUUGUCUGUAGACCUCCGAGACGGGAUUGUAUCGAGGCACAGAUCUGGGGAAGGGAACAAAAACAUUUCUGCAGCAUUGAAGGUCUCAAUGAGCACAGUGGCCACUAUCAUCUGUCAUGGCACGCAUUUAUUUGUUAUUUUUUACCACCAUCUUGUGGCAGUUUGGUGUAACAACAAAGACCAUUGAUGACUGUGAGCUGUUUUCUUAGUGGUUGGUUUAGGUCAUGUGACUCUUGGGUUAGAGGUUAACCAGGAAAUAACCGCAGUGUUCCAGAUUCUUUCCAUGCGUAUAUUAAAUCUGUCUGAACCUUAAUUUUCAU